rnacentral:rRNA from 1 species
UACGUAGGGUGCAAGCGUUGUCCGGAAUUAUUGGGCGUAAAGAGCUCGUAGGCGGUUUGUCGCGUCUGCUGUGAAAACUCGGGGCUUAACCCCGGGCCUGCAGUGGGUACGGGCAGACUAGAGUGCGGUAGGGGAGACUGGAAUUCCUGGUGUAGCGGUGAAAUGCGCAGAUAUCAGGAGGAACACCAGCAGCGAAGGCGGCGCUCUGGGCUGGAACUGACGCUGAGGAGCGAAAGCGUGGGUAGCAAACAGG